rnacentral:tRNA from 1 species
AGGGGUUUAGCUCAGUGGAAGAGCACCUGCCUGGCGAGCACAAGGCUCUGAGUUCAGUCCUCAGCUCUG